rnacentral:lncRNA from 1 species
CCGAGAGCUAAUUUGUUAAGUAUACUUGCAAAAGGUAGAUGAGGAGACAGAUAAAAUCUUAUUACCUCUUUCAGAUGAGAGGCACUUGAGCCCUGCUCAGCUAUGAGAAUAAGAGAGGGGAAUUAAUUCUAAUUGAAUACACUUGUUCUCUUAUAGCUGUUGUUCCCCACCAGAACCAAAUGAGCGCAAGAUCUGACAAAGAAAAAAAAAGGUUCAUCUUUUAUUCCUCCAAACACUUUCAUUUAAAUCAAGAGGAUGGGAUGUGGUUAUUGCUGUGUUUUUAGACAGAAUCAACGGUUUCUGGGUCUGAGAUGUUGCAUACACCUUCUCAGUCCCUGUAUCCUGAGAUGGAGUCACCUGAGAAUCCACAGCAAGUCCUAACCAGGGAUGGGUCUGGGUGAUUAAGGAAGGUUGGCUUCAGAACUGGGCCAGGGGCACUGCUUUGCUUUUGCUGUUUUGAUCAGCUCUCUGCCUGAAGGAGACAAGAAAAACCAACGGGAACAGCCCAGUAAAGGCGCCAUUCCCCAUUUUACAGCUGGGGAAACUGAGUUACAGAGCUUGUCUGCACUGAGUCAUCAGGAGCAAAUGCUAGAUCAGGCCAGAGUGCAGUUGACGCAGGGCAGGGGAGCCCCGAAGUGGAGCAUAGUGUGUCCGGAACUGGUGGGUUCUUGGUCUCACUGACUUCAAGAAAGAAGCCGCGGACCCUCGCGAAACUCCUGGAGGGCAGAGGCAUGCCUGCCAUCUUCAUCAUUGCAUUACCACCACCCAACACUAUCGGGGGACCUGCCCUGAUAAUCAGUCUACAGGUGUAUCCAGCAGCUCCAGAGAGACAGCGACCAGCGAGAAGGGGCCAUGAUGAUGGAGGUGGUUUUGUCAAAACGAAAAUGGGGAUAUGUAGGGAAAAGAAAGAGAGAUCAGACUGUUACUGUGUCUACAUAGAAAGGGAAGACAUAAGAGACUCCAUUUUGAAAAAGACCUGUACUUUAAACAAUUGCUUUGCUGAGAUGUUGUUAAUCUGUAGCUUUGCCCCAGCCACUUUGCCCCAACCACUUUGACCCAAUCUGGAGCUCAUAAAAACAUGUGUUGUAUGAAAUCAAGGUUUAAGGCAUGUAGGGCUGUGCAGGACGUGCCUUGUUAACCAAAUGUUUGCAAGCAGUAUACUUGGUAAAAGUCAUCACCAUUCUCUCAUCUCAAUAAACCAGGGGCACAAUGCACUGUGGAAAGCCGCAGGGACCUCUGCCCUUGAAAGCUGGGUAUUGUCCAAAGUUCCUCCCCAUGUGAUAGUCUGAAAUAUGGCCUCGUGGGAUGAGAAAGACCUGACGGUCCCCCAGCGCGACACCCAUAAAAGAUCUGUGCUGAGGUGGAUUAGUCAAAGAGGAAAGACUUGCAGUUGAGAUAGAGGAAGGCCACUGUCUCCUGACUGCCCCUGGGAACUGAAUGUCUCGGUAUAAAACACGAUUGUACAUUUGUUCAGUUCUGAGAUGGGAGAAAAACCGCCCUAUGGUGGGAGGCGAGACAUGUUUACAGCAAUGCUGCCUUGUUAUCCUUUACUCCACUGAGAUGUCUGGGUGGAGAGAAACAUAAAUCUGGCUUACAUGCACGUCCAGUCAUAGUACCUUCCCUUGAACUUCAUUAUGACAUGGAUUCUAUUGCUCACGUUUGUUGCUGACCUUCUCCUUAUUAUCACCCUGCCCUCCUACUACAUUCCUUUUUGCUGAAAUAAUGAAGAUAAUAAUCAAUAAAAACUGAGGGAAUUCAGAGACCUGUGCCAGUGCAGGUCCUUAGCAUGCUAAGCGCCGGUCCCC